UGCAGCUCUAAGUGGGUGGUAAAUUCCAUCUAAAGCUAAAUAUUGGCGAGAGACCGAUAGCGAACAAGUACAGUGAUGGAAAGAUGAAAAGAACUUUGAAAAGAGAGUGAAAAAGUACGUGAAAUUGUUGAAAGGGAAGGGCUUGAGAUCAGACUUGGCAUUUUGCAUGUUGCUUCUUCGGGGGCGGCCUCUGCGGUUUGUCGGGCCAGCAUCAGUUUGGGCGGCAGGACAAUCGCGUGGGAAUGUGGCACGGCCUCGGCUGUGUGUUAUAGCCCGCGUGGAUACUGCCAGCCUAGACUGAGGACUGCGGUUUAUACCUAGGAUGUUGGCAUAAUGAUCUUAAGUCGCCCGUCUUGAAACACGGACCAAGGAGUCUAACGUCUAUGCGAGUGUUUGGGUGUAAAACCCGUACGCGUAAUGAAAGUGAACGUAGGUGGGGGCCCUCUCGGGGGUGCACCAUCGACCGAUCCUGAUGUCUUCGGAUGGAUUUGAGUAAGAGCA
rnacentral:rRNA from 1 species